GCCACCUGUUUCUCUUACACUUUAAGCAUCUCUUUACUCUCACCACCAUAUAAAUAUUCCUUCCUCUCCCCUUUUCACUUCCCACAGUAUUACUUCUCUUUUUCACACUCUGUACCAAAUUUGCUUCUACUUGUCGCUAUGGCUACUGCUACUACUCUCUCUCCUGCUGAUGCUGAAAAGCUCAACAACCUCAAAUCUGCCGUCGCCGGUCUAAAUCAAAUCAGUGAAAAUGAGAAAUCUGGAUUUAUUAACCUUGUCGGUCGCUAUCUAAGUGGUGAAGCACAACACAUUGACUGGAGUAAGAUCCAGACGCCAACUGAUGAAGUUGUGGUGCCUUAUGACAAGUUAGCACCUCUUUCUGAAGAUCCCGCGGAAACUAAGAAGCUUUUGGACAAA
rnacentral:misc_RNA from 1 species